rnacentral:rRNA from 1 species
AGUGAACGCUGGCGGUAGGCCUAACACAUGCAAGUCGAACGGCAGCACAGUAAGAGCUUGCUCUUGCGGGUGGCGAGUGGCGGACGGGUGAGGAAUACAUCGGAAUCUACUUUUUCGUGGGGGAUAACGUAGGGAAACUUACGCUAAUACCGCAUACGACCUACGGGUGAAAGCAGGGGAUCUUCGGACCUUGCGCGAUUGAAUGAGCCGAUGUCGGAUUAGCUAGUUGGCGGGGUAAAGGCCCACCAAGGCGACGAUCCGUAGCUGGUCUGAGAGGAUGAUCAGCCACACUGGAACUGAGACACGGUCCAGACGCCUACGGGAGGCAGCAGUGGGGAAUAUUGGACAAUGGGCGCAGGCCUGAUCCAGCCAUACCGCGUGGGUGAAGAAGGCCUUCGGGUUGUAAAGCCCUUUUGUUGGGAAAGAAAAGCAGCAGGUUAAUACCCCGCUGUUCUGACGGUACCCAAAGAAUAAGCACCGGCUAACUUCGU